CGAAACCAAAGCCUGGCGACCGGCGCACGGGUGAGUAACACGUAUCCAACCUGCCUCAUACUCGGGGAUAGCCUUUCGAAAGAAAGAUUAAUAUCCGAUAGCAUAUAUUUCCCGCAUGGGUUUUAUAUUAAAGAAAUUCGGUAUGAGAUGGGGAUGCGUUCCAUUAGUUUGUUGGGGGGGUAACGGCCCACCAAGACUACGAUGGAUAGGGGUUCUGAGAGGAAGGUCCCCCACAUUGGAACUGAGACACGGUCCAA
rnacentral:rRNA from 1 species